AUUGAACGCUGGCGGCAGGCCUAACACAUGCAAGUCGAACGGUAACAGGAAGAAGCUUGCUUCUUUGCUGACGAGUGGCGGACGGGUGAGUAAUGUCUGGGAAACUGCCUGAUGGAGGGGGAUAACUACUGGAAACGGUAGCUAAUACCGCAUAACGUCGCAAGACCAAAGAGGGGGACCUUCGGGCCUCUUGCCAUCGGAUGUGCCCAGAUGGGAUUAGCUAGUAGGUGGGGUAACGGCUCACCAAGGCGACGAUCCCUAGCUGGUCUGAGAGGAUGAACAGGCCACAGGGAAAUGAGGCAAGGGUCCGAACCCCAAGGGGGGGAGAAGGGGGGAAUAUUUGCACAUGGGGGAAAGCCGUAAGGAGGCAAGGCGCGGGUGAGAAGAAGGGCCUUGGGGUUUAAAAGAACUUUAGGGGGGAGGAAGGGAAGUAAAGUAAAACCUUUUUCUCUUGACGGUACCCAGCGAAAAAGGCCCGGCUAACCCCGGG
rnacentral:rRNA from 1 species